CUGUUAUGAAGUAACAGGAUACAAUAAACAGCAAACCUUCUUUCUCCACAAAACACCUUCUUUCUCCCCAAAACACUUGGAGUGUUUUGAGGAGAAAGAAGGUGUUUUGUGGAGAAAGAAGGUGUUUUGUGGAGAAAGAAGGUUUGCUGUUUAUUGUAUCCUGUUACUUCAUAACAGAAAAUAAACAGGCCAGAGGCCUUUUUGAAACUGGACUUUGU